GGCUCAGAGUGAACGCUGGCGGCAGGCCUAACACAUGCAAGUCGAGCGGCAGCGCGUCCGACCACCCUCGGGUGGUCGGAUGCGGCGAGCGGCGGACGGGUGAGGAAUGCAUCGGAAUCUGCCUCGUUGUGGGGGAGUAACGUAGGGAAACUUACGCUAAUACCGCAUACGACCUACGGGUGAAAGUGGGGGACCUUCGGGCCUCACGCGAUGAGAUGAGCCGAUGCCGGAUUAGCUAGUUGGCGGGGUAAAGGCCCACCAAGGCGACGAUCCGUAGCUGGUCUGAGAGGAUGAUCAGCCACACUGGAACUGAGACACGGUCCAGACUCCUACGGGAGGCAGCAGUGGGGAAUAUUGGACAAUGGGGGCAACCCUGAUCCAGCCACGCCGCGUGUGUGAAGAAGGCCUGCGGGUUGUAAAGCACUUUCAGUGGGGAAGAACAGAUUCGGGUCAAUACCCCGGAGCCCUGACGUUACCCACAGAAGAAGCACCGGCUAACUCCGUG
rnacentral:rRNA from 1 species